ACGUACACUCCUACGGGAGGCAGCAGUGGGGAAUAUUGCACAAUGGGCGCAAGCCUGAUGCAGCCAUGCCGCGUGUAUGAAGAAGGCCUUCGGGUUGUAAAGUACUUUCAGCGGGGAGGAAGGCAAUACGGUUAAUAACCGUGUUGAUUGACGUUACCCGCAGAAGAAGCACCGGCUAACUCCGUGCCAGCAGCCGCGGUAAUACGGAGGGUGCAAGCGUUAAUCGGAAUUACUGGGCGUAAAGCGCACGCAGGCGGUCUGUCAAGUCGGAUGUGAAAUCCCCGGGCUCAACCUGGGAACUGCAUGCGAAACUGGCAGGCUUGAGUCGUGUAGAGGGGGGUAGAAUUCCAGGUGUAGCGGUGAAAUGCGUAGAGAUCUGGAGGAAUACCGGUGGCGAAGGCGGCCCCCUGGACAAAGACUGACGCUCAGGUGCGAAAGCGUGGGGAGCAAACAGGAUUAGAAACCCUAGUAGUCCC
rnacentral:rRNA from 1 species